CCCUGGGUCCCACCGCUGCCGGCCCAGCGCUUUGGGGAGUGACUUCCGGCCAUGCGGGGCCUCUACCGCUGCCAUCGCGGUCCCGGUCUCCUGAAGUGGAACCCGGCUUGGAGUCGAGCGCGACCCCUCGCCCGUGGGCGCAGGCGAUCGAGUAAGGGUGGGGCGGGCCUCAAACCCGGAUCAGAACCCGCCCUGACCGGCGCAGAGAUACGGGACGCAGCCGUGAGCACUGUUUUUUAUUUCACCAUGGACCCAUCGGCGUGGGGCGCCCGCCCCGGGUGUCCUUCCUCCCCCGGGCAGCCAGAUGCUGGAACGGGAGGCACAUGUUCCGGCCCCGGCCCCUGGGAAGGAAAGAAAGGACCUUCCCGUUUCACUUGUCUCGGCUGAACAUGUAGCGGAGGAGGUCGACCACCCGGUGACUGUAGCCAUAUUCGUUGUCGUACCUGUGGAGGAGGGGUCGGGAGGUUCAAGGGGGUUCCUUCCGACCACCCCUUAGUUCCCCUCCCUCUAAGUCUCCAGCUCCUUCCCCCUUACCAUGAAAUGAGCUUCACGAAAUUGUCAUUGAGCGCAAUGCCGGCCUUAGCAUCGAAGAUGGACGAGUGGGUAUCACCGAGGAAGUCCGUAGAGACGACCUGGAAGUCAGAAUUUCAAAGAUAAGUGUGUCCGGCAGAGCAAGGACCUCCAGGAGCUGAGGCCCCGACUCUUAACUCUAUCGCCCAUCCAUGCAUUCAUCUAUAAUAUUUGAUGUAGCCCUACUGUGUCCAGUCUCUGGACUGGAGGGUAUGACCAAGUGCAGGGUAUGACCAAGGCACUGUGUCAGGGUCUGGCCAAAGGGCACAGGUCACAAACACCCUCAUGCUGUACCAGUACAUCCCUUUCCUAGGAAUAAUGCAAGCGUUUGGAAUGGGCCAGCAUGGAGGGCCUCUCUGAGGGGUGGCCAUGAGCCUGGGUCUAGAUGACUAGAAAGAUCUGACCGGCUGGGGCCCUCAGCACAGUGUCUGAGGUAGAAGGAGCUGCAGGAAGGGAGGACCUGAGGGUUUUAGCCCUAGUGUCAUGAAAGGCCACAGGAGUGUUUUCAAUCCUGAAAACGGGUGAUGCAAUGUGAUUCCAUUAAAACAAAAGAUCCCAGUGACUGUGGGAAAGUGGACCUGCAGGAGUUAAUGCAGGGAGACAGCACCAAGGUGGAUGUACAGGGGUCCACCAUGACCAUGGCAUCCACUCCUCACAGAGAAGGCAUCUGGCCAUGGCCUGGCCCUGAGCAAGUAUUGAAAAAAAUGGGAGCUGUUGUCUUUUGUUCACUAAGCAUGUAUUAGUCACCUGCUGUAUGCCAGGUUGGAGCCACAAAAGUGAAAAGGCAGCCCCUAAAUCCCUGUUUUCUUGGAGUGCACACACCACUGGGGCCAACAGUGACUAUGAAAUGAAAUUUCAGGUGAGGAAUAUGGCCACAAAAAGAACAUAUUUUGAGGGGGUGCCUUGCUGAAGAGGGAGGUUCCUCCAGAGACUUGGAGGAAGUAAGGACAGACUGUAUGGUCACCUGGCAAGGGAAGCAUUCCAGACUAAAGGAACAGCAAGUGCAAAGGCCCUGAGGCAGGGAGAUCUCCCUUCCUGCCCUGCAGUUUCUGACUUGGCACAUUGAGAGCAGCUCCCUGGCAAGUGGAAAUCAUGUCCCUUCCCAGAGGGCUCCUCCCAGGGUCUCCUCUCCUCAGCCCCUACCUCAUCCUCGGUGUAGGCAAGGAUGCCAGCCAUGGGCCCCUUGGCUGCUGCUUUUACAGCCUCCUUGAUGGCUGAGUAGGGGGCAGGCUGGGCGAGGCGGCAGGUCAGGUCCACGACAGACACAUCCGGGGUUGGUACCCGGAACGCCAUCCCUGUCAGCUUCCUGGAGAAUCCCCCAUGAGGAACAGGAGUCAGAACUUAGGGACGUUGCCCUCCAUUCCCCCUUUCCCUGUGGCUGGGCCAGGCCCCUGCUUUCCUCUUAAGGACUGAGGGCCGGGCCAGUCCAGUCCUCCUGGCGUAUGCCCCCACCCUGGUUGCAGCUUCUUGUCCUCAUACCCUUUGAGCUCUGGGAUGACUUUGGUCACAGCUUUCGCAGCCCCAGUGGAGGCUGGGAUGAUGUUCUGGUGGGCACCCCGCCCAUCUCGCCAGGCCUUCCUUGAUGGCCCGUCCACUGUCUUCUGGGUGGCCGUGUAGGAAUGGACUGUGGUCUUGGGGAAGAGAAGGACCAAGAUGAGGCCUUCAUGCUCCUAAGCUCCCAUGCCUCUUUUUUCCAGGACUAAGUUGGUGGCCUAGGUGUGGAGGCUGGUGGGGCCACCACCACAGACCACAGGAGGGGAUGUGUGCAGGCCAGGGUCCAGCCUUGCCUGAGGGUUGCACAGUGUUUUAAGUGACUUCUGCACUGGUGGGCCUCUCCUCCCGAAACCAGUCUCUCCCUCUUAACUCCAUACAGUAAGCAAGGCCCGGGAAGAAGUUGGGUUUCCCUGCCAUCCUUCCUGCCCCAGCCCCUCAUCCUCAACUCACCAUCAACCCUUCCACGAUCCCAAAUCGCUCGUGGAUGACUUUGGCGAGGGGAGCCAAACAGUUGGUGGUGCAGGACGCGUUGCUGAAACAGCCAAGGUGUGCACGGACACUGUGAGCUCUGACAACCUCGCCAUGAACCCUCCUAGACCCUCAGCUCCUGCAAUAGGAAGCUGGCUGCCAAAGGCCAGGAGGGUCCCUGAAAACAGACACUGCAUUAAAGAAAAAGCUCCUGGAGGACUCCUGAAGCCUGAGGCAGCCUUGGGGCAGCAGUGGCUCAUGGUUUACAUUGGAAAGGUUUAUCAUGAGUAACCGGGUGCUUUGCUUCUGUGAUUCUUGGCCAGUGUCGGUCUGUUUCCUUUGCCAUUGAGCCUGCUCCCCUCAAUGGGGGGUUCAAUCAAUGUUUGUGGGGUUUGUUUGUUUUGAGACAGGGUCUUCCUCUGUCGCCCAGGCUGGAGUGCAGUGGUGCAAUCAGAGCUCACUGCAGCCUUGAUCUUCCUGGCUCCGGCCAUCCUCCUGCCUUGGCCUCCCGAGUAGCUGGGACUACAGGCGCACACCACCAUGCCAAGCUAAUUUUUAAAUUUUUUUGUAGAGAUGGGGUCUCACUUUUGUUGCCCAGGGUGCUUUAGAACCCCUGGGCUCAAGUGAUCCUUGACCUCCCACAGUGCUGGGAUUACAGGUGUGAGCCACCGUGCCUGGCCUCAUGGGUUUUCUUUGUUUUGUUUUGUUUUGUUUUUGAGACAGAGUCUCACUCUGUCACUCAGGCUGGAGUGCAGUGGCACGAUUUUGGCUCACUGCAACCUCCACCUUCCGGGUUCAAGCGAUUCUCCUGCCUCCGCCUCCCGAGUAGUUGGGGUUACAGGCAUGCGCUACCACACCUGGCUAGUUUUUUAUUGUUGUUGUUUUUUGUAUUUUUAGUGGUGACGGGGUUUGCUCUGUUGGCCAGGCUGGUCUCAAACUCCUGACCUCAGGUGAUCCCCACUUCAGCCUCCCAAAGUGCUGGGAUGACAGGCAUGAGCCUCUGCACCUGGCCUCGUGUUUUUUUUUUAGUUAGCCAUUUUAUACGUGUUUACUGAACACCUGUCCUGUGCCCAUAUUCUAAGUGCCUUACCUGCAUUAAACUCAUGUAACCUUCACAACCCGAUGAGGAAGUGCUACCGCUGUCAUUUUUUGCAUUUUUUUACUGCUGUCAGGGCAGAGGGGAGGGGAGUGAGAGGGAGAGCCUGCUGGAGUGCAGGUGGCUGGUCCCACCUCGGGUCUGCACUCCUGUUUCCACUGCCUGAAUGAAUGAAUGAAUGGGCUGCCCUGCAAAGCCAUCACACAUGCAUGGUUAUCCUCUUCCUGUCUCCUGCUCUGUCAGUCCACUUUCCAUCAUCUGGCCCAACGAGCUCUUCUCAGAUACCCCCCAUUUCCUGCCUUCCAAAUUAGGGACACUUGCGAUUCCUCUGCAACAAUUGCUGAGUUGGCCUGAGGCAAAGACUGUGCCCCCAGAAGACCCCAGGCCCUCCCCAAGGCUGUC
rnacentral:lncRNA from 10 species